rnacentral:rRNA from 1 species
UACGUAGGGUGCGAGCGUUGUCCGGAAUUAUUGGGCGUAAAGGGCUCGUAGGCGGUCUGUUACGUCGGGAGUGAAAACCCGGGGCUCAACCCCGGGCCUGCUUCCGAUACGGGCAGACUAGAGGUAUGCAGGGGAGAACGGAAUUCCUGGUGUAGCGGUGAAAUGCGCAGAUAUCAGGAGGAACACCGGUGGCGAAGGCGGUUCUCUGGGCAUUACCUGACGCUGAGGAGCGAAAGUGUGGGGAGCGAACAGG